rnacentral:rRNA from 1 species
GACAAAGGGAACAACCGUUAUUCAGAAUCACUGGGCGUAAAGAGCUCGUAGGCGGUGAAGAAAGUCGGAUGUGAAAUCCCUCAGCCCAACCGAGGAACUGCACUCGAAACUAUCUUGCUUAAAAACCGAAAAAAACCACGGAAUUCCUGGUGAAGCGAUGAAAUGCGUUGAUAUCAGGAGGAACACCGGCGACGAAGGCGGUGGUCUGGUCGGUUUCUGACGCUGAGGAGCGAAAGCUAAAGGAGCAAACGGG